AAGUCGUAACAAGGUUUCCGUAGGUGAACCUGCGGAAGGAUCAUUAUUGAAUAUUCUUGAUGGGUUGUAGCUGGCUCUUCGGGGCAUGUGCACGCCUGUCUUGACUUUAUUCAUCCACCUGUGCACCUUUUGUAGUCUUGGGGGUUGAGAGCAGUCAAUAAUCGGAUGACCAUUUGGUCACUCCGGGUGUGAGGAAUGCUGAGUGCGAAAGCAUACAGCUCUUCUCAAAGUGACUUGUAAUCCUCUCCUUCAAGUACUAUGUAUUCAUAUACCCAUAGUAUGUUGUAGAAUGUGAUCAAUGGGCCUAAGUGCCUAUAACAAUCAUAUACAACUUUCAGCAACGGAUCUCUAGGCUCUC
rnacentral:misc_RNA from 1 species